UUGAAGCCGCAGGGGUGGGACGAUAGUCCCUGAGAGUCCGGAAAACCGGACAACCCUUUGAACCUGAUCCGGGUAAUGCCGGCGUAGGGAGCGGCUAAAAUUCCUAA
rnacentral:ncRNA from 2 species